GGCGGGAGCGGGUGAGGGGCGGGGCCCGCGGGAGCCGUGCGCCCGUGAGGGGAAACGCAGCGGGAGAAAGGAGAGGGGGAUGUCGGGAUAUCGCGAUAGGCACCGGGAUUUACACCGGGAUCGUGGCAUAGCGGGAAGUGGGAAAGCUGGAGAACGGUGAGCAAAACACAGGGAUGUCGCGAUAUCGGCGUAACCGAAUGCGGUGAUGGAGGCUGAGCGGGAGGAAAACACAGGCCUUUAGGGGGUCCCCUUUAUUUGGGGGGGGUCCGUCCUGCCUCAGUUUCCCCCGUUCGGAGCGGGGAAGGGUCACUGGUCUGACUGGGCCGUACUGGGAGCCCCUUCCCCACCUUGGGGACAUCUCGCGGUGACAGCUCCGGACACGAUCGUGCUGAGCUUCAAGGACCUGGAACAGAGCUGGCAGGACCUGGGGGGACCC